ensembl:lncRNA
ACCGAGGAACGGGAAAUACUUGCCUGGCAUAAGGAGAGACCAGCCUCGCAUACAUUUCUAUAAAAAAAAAUCCAGACUACAGUAAUACUCGUUUUAAGGAUUUUCGAAAACCGUUAACGUUUUUAUUAAACUAUUCCAUUAAAUGUGUACACAGGUUUUUACAAAUAUUUAACACUAACGGUACUGUACUUCCCUUCCUGCCUCCGCCAAAUACGUUACACAACUACGACCAACUGUGACGUAAUGGAUUAGUAAUGUAACGACACCACCGCCUCACAGUGUUGUGGCAACGUUAUCCGAAGGUAAAAGAAUGACCACAUAAUUGGUAAUCUUCCUUACCUGCUCAGUACAUUGCAGCAACGUAAGUACACAACAUACAGACAAUGUAACUACUUAUGUCCCUGUUUGGUUACGAUUUUACAUAACUACAACUGUCAAAUUUAACCUCCUAUUUCUGUUGCUACAACCAGAGGCGUUGCUAAGAUCUCAAUAAAUUCGGAAAUAGCACACCCCAGCCACCCCGGGAUAGAAAGAACUGGGUUGAAGAAAAUUGGAAUGUACAUGCUAGUGGCCUACGCGUAUACAUUGUCAUAGUGUGUGAUCGGAAUUAUAGAUGCAUAGAUCAGGGGCUAUUUUUUUUUUGUCAAUUUGAGAUCCAUGGCUAUUCAUAAAAGGCCCGGGGCUAUAGUCCUAAACGCCCAUGCCUAACGAUGUCACUGGCUACAAUUUACUUUGAUUAUGAUGGCAUUACUUGCCACCACAUCAGAAACCACAUAUACCUUAGUUUAGCCCAUAUGAAGAUCUUUAAAGAAUUCCCCAAUCCCAGCAAUUCAUCUCAUCUUCAUCCGCGUAUCGGGUCGCGGGGGCAGCAGCUCCAGCAGGGGACCCCCAAACUUCCCUUUCCCGAGCCAUAUUUGCCAGCUCUAACUGGCCUGGGAACGCCUCGGGAACCCCCAAUGUCGAAAUAUAAUCUCUCCACCUAGUCCUACCUAGUCCAUCUCUAAUGGAGAAGCCAGCCACCCUUCUGAGAAAACCCAUUUCAGCCGCUUGUACUCGGGAUCUAGUUCUUUUGGUCAUGACCCAGCCUUCAUGACCAUAGGUGAGGGUAGGAACGAAAAUUGACCAGUAUAUCGAGAGCUCUCUUUUCGUCACAACGUUGCGGUAAAACGAAUGUAAUAUUCUCCGGCUCCAUUGUCCCCUCACUUGCGAACAAGACCCAGAGAUACUUGAACUCCUUUACUCGGGGUAACGCCUUAUUCCCUACCCGGAGUAGGCACUCCAUCGGUUUCCUGCUGAGAACCAUGGCCUCAGAUUUAGAGGUGCUAAUCCUCAUCCCAACCGCUUUGCACUCGGCUGCGAACUGGUCCAGUGAGUGCUGAAGGUCACAGACCAAUGAUGCCAUCAGGACCACAUCAUCCGCAAAAAAGAGGGAUGAGAUCCCCAGCCCACCAAACUGCAACCCCUCCCCACCCCGACUACGCCUCGAUAUUCUGUCCAUAAAAGUUACAAACAGGAUUGGUGACAAAGCGCAGCCCUGUAGUCUAUAGUAUAGUAUACCUGGAUUGCUGCUGCAGGUACACUGUAGCACAAGUUUUCUGUAAACGUACCUGGCUAACUAGCUACUACAGCUAGCUAACACUACAACGACAUUAACAAACAGCUUAGUUGUUAAGCCGGCAUAAUUUCUGGAGCACCGUCAUCAUUUCUGGACAAGGAUCUCAGGGAAGCUUAUUUAACUUCUUUACAAAGCAGAUAACUAAAAUCACUGAAAAUGGAACAUUUAGAAUGAAUGACUGGGAAUGACGUGUCUGUAGAAAGAGAACAAAGCCUAAACAAUUGGGUUGUGUCUGUAGCAACCAAAACAUGAGAGAGCUCAAAUUCACACAUAAAAUAUGUAAACAUAAAUGAAAACACAUUCUGUCUAGUGGUAAACAUAGCACAAAAAUGUUUUGAUUAGGGGGUUCUGAGUACAGCUGAGCAGAGGGGGGAGAAAGAUAAUGGACGGAUGAACACGCCAUGUUACUGUCGAUCAAAACUAAAAGUGCCUGUCGAAUCUCAUUAUCUGUGCUGAAACCACAACAGAGGGUGUCAGCAGUAUCACCAGCACCCCUACUUCCCACUGCUGUGCUAGGAAAGGUUUGCUUAAGUUGUUGUUUUUGGCCACUGGGGUAUAAGACGGAUAAACAGCUCAGUACAUUGCCUCUGAGUAACGAACUCCAAGAAG